rnacentral:rRNA from 1 species
GGGAUGACGGCCUUCGGGUUGUAAACCUCUUUCAGCAGGGAAGAAGCGAAAGUGACGGUACCUGCAGAAGAAGCACCGGCUAACUACGUGCCAGCAGCCGCGGUAAUACGUAGGGUGCGAGCGUUGUCCGGAAUUAUUGGGCGUAAAGAGCUUGUAGGCGGUUUGUCGCGUCUGCUGUGAAAAUCCGGGGCUCAACCCCGGACUUGCAGUGGGUACGGGCAGACUAGAGUGUGGUAGGGGAGACUGGAAUUCCUGGUGUAGCGGUGAAAUGCGCAGAUAUCAGGAGGAACACCGAUGGCGAAGGCAGGUCUCUGGGCCACUACUGACGCUGAGAAGCGAAAGCAUGGGGAGCGAACAGGAUUAGAUACCCUGGUAGUCCAUGCCGUAAACGUUGGGCGCUAGGUGUGGGACUCAUUCCACGAGUUCCGUGCCGCAGCUAACGCAUUAAGCGCCCCGCCUGGGGAGUACGGCCGCAAGGCUAAAACUCAAAGGAAUUGACGGGGGCCCGCACAAGCGGCGGAGCAUGCGGAUUAAUUCGAUGCAACGCGAAGAACCUUACCAAGGCUUGACAUAUACCGGAAACUUCCAGAGAUGGUUGCCCCCUUUGGGUCGGUAUACAGGUGGUGCAUGGUUGUCGUCAGCUCGUGUCGUGAGAUGUUGGGUUAAGUCCCGCAACGAGCGCAACCCUCGUUCUAUGUUGCCAGCACGUCAUGGUGGGGACUCAUGGAAGACUGCCGGGGUCAACUCGGAGGAAGGUGGGGAUGACGUC